GCCCUAUUAACUCAGUUGGUCAGAGUGUAGUGCUUAUAUGUCGUAUAUAUGGAGUGGGGUCAUACCCAAUAAAGGCACGCUAAAGUCAUGGGUUCGAACCCCAUAUAGGGCA
rnacentral:tRNA from 1 species